GAUGAUAUAUAUAUAGAAGUUUUACAGUUUUGGCGUGCACAGGUUAUUUAAAUAAAACUCCUGUGUGAUGCUUGAGAUGGCAAGUUCAAUAUAUAGCUCUAAGAGCAAACUUUAAAGUUAUUUCGGCAUGUGACCAUUGAGUACCUUUUUAGUACUCAGCCCUGCAUAUGUUUCUAAAUGUGCAGGUUAAGCUGUGAUGCAGAUGGAGGCGAGCAGAGCAAAGCUUUUGAAGUAUAAGUAUUAAAUUAGGCUCAGGAUUCCAUGUCUUCAUACAUGUAAUCCACUUAAGUAUUUCCGCUGCAACACUUAGUGUAUUUUACUUUAUUGAUGUGUUGUAUAGAUUUUAAAUCAAUAGCUUUGAGAAUUAUGUCACUGGAAAAUUUGACAACUUGUCGUUGUGUUAUUGUGAGUUGUCUGCCUAAGCAGUUUAGAAAAGAUUGCUCAUGAGUUUUAAAAGUGAUUUGCUCAUGAUUAUUCAAUACUAAAGUAAUUCAUCGUUAAAGAGGGUUCAUUAUUAUUAUUUAAAUCUCUUUCCUUUUUCAUUUUCUUUCUCCUUUUUCCCAGUCACACCUUUCCCCGGCUUAACUAUACACUAUAUUAGGCCGGGCUGUGACAAAGUGGUAUCAGAGCAGGUCGUUUGCUCUGAGCCUAAAUAUUCCUUUGAGUCUAGUCUAAAUUUGAAUCUUUGGACUAGUGUGAGUAAUAUAGUAAAAGCUCUGCUCUCCAUCUCAUCCAACUUAGCCAGGUACGGAUUUUCAGAGUUUUGAAGUAGCAUGUUACAUUUUUAAACAAGUUUUAGAUAUGAGUUGCAGUUUUGCAAGUAUUAGUAUGAUGGAAACUUAUAUAUUUUAAAAUGAGCAUGGACAACAUGAGUUAUUUAUGAGUAUCCUCUGCCUAUACGAACUUUUGAGAUUUGAAUGGAUAAAAGUGUUAUUCAUAUUUUAAUAUUUGUGUUUUGAUAUGUGGAUGGAGAUAUAGAAAGUUUGAUGAUACAAUAAUGACGUAUAUCAGUCGCGAUGUAACCUAGUACUAGUAGUGAUGUUAUACUAGUUACGGCACCACAAUUAAUACUAAGAGCUUUUUGCAACAUAUAUUCCUAUCUUUCGUAUGAGAACUCAUUGAGGCAAAUUUUCUCAUGAUAUGAAGUGAUCAAAGUGGUCAUNUGAGAAGGAGGCCUACUUCUCAACACUCAGAGUUAUUAUGAUGCGUAGAUAUGGUACAUACAUGUUAAUUGUCAGCAGACGUAUAUGAUGUUAUGAUGAUUAUAGAGAAGUUUUUAUAGUUUUGCAUGCACAGGUUAUUUAAAUAAAACCCAUGUGUGAUGCUUGAGAUGGCAAGUUCAAUAUAUAGCUCUAAGAGCAAGUUUAAAGUUAUUUCGGCAUGUAACCACUGAGUGCUAUUUGAUACUCAGCCCUGCGUAUGUUUCUAAAUAUGCAGGUUAAGCUGUGAUGUAGAUGGAAGCAAGCAGAGCAAAGCCUUCAGAGUAUAUUAAAUUAGGCUCAGGAUUCCAUGUCUUCAUACAUGUAAUCCACAUGAAUUAUCCGCUGCAACACUCAGUCUAUUCUACUUUGUUGAUGUGUUGUAACAAUAUUUUUAAAUCAAUAGCUUUGAGUAAUUAUAAUCACUUGAAAGUUAGACAACUUGUCGUUGUGUAUUGUAAGUUGUCUACUCAUGAGUUUUAAAAGUGAUUGCUUAUGAUUAUCCAAUAUUAAAGUAAUUCAUCGUUAAAGAGGGUUCAUUAUUAUUAUUUAAAUCUCUUUUAUUUUUCAUUUUCUUUUUCCCUUCCCCAGUCACACAUUUUCCCUGACUUAACUGUUGUUAGUUUAGGUCGGGCUGUGACAAAGUGGUAUCAGAGCAGGUUGUUUGCUCUGAGCCUAAACAUUCCCUUGAGUCUAGUCUAAAUUUGAAUCUUUAGACUAAAAUGAGUAAUAUAGUAAAAGCUCUGCGCUCCAUCUCAUCCAGCAUAGCCAGGUACUGAUUUUCAGAGUUUUAAAGAAUCAAUUUACAGUUUGAAAGAGUUUGAGUUGUUAAUAUUGCAACUUUGCAAGAAAGUUAUUAAUAUUGCAAUUUUGCAAGAAUCUAGUAUUUGGAGAAGUUUACAUGUUUACAAGUGAGUGAAUAUGAAUAACAUGAGUUAUUUAUGAGUAUCCUCUGCCUAUACGAACUUUUGAGAUUUGAAUGAAUAAAAGUGUUAUUCAUAUAUUAAUAUUUAUAUUUUGAUAUGUGGAUGGAGAUAUAUAUAGACAGAUUGAUGAUACAAUAAUGAUGUAUAUCAGUCGCGAUGUAACCUAGUACUAGUAGUGAUGUUAUACAGUUAGGGCACCACAAUCAGUACUAAGAGCUUUUUGCAACAUAUAUUCCUAUCUUUCGUAUGAGAACUCAUUGAGGCAAAUUUUCUCAUGAUAUGAAGUGAUCAGAGUGGUCAUUUACUAGGUUAUUAUUGAGCUUUACUUGCUUAGAUGAUUGAAUUUUUGUGUAUGAGUUUUAUAACUUAGUUGGAUUAUAGUUAAGUAGGAGUUUGACUUUACUGAUGGGAUGAAAGCUCAAUUUUGGAGAUUUUGUGUAUUUACUCGGCAUGAUGUCUCAAAGAAGCAGUGGAAAUCUGCCAUCCGCCAUGUGAAUAAUUUAGAGAACUACUCGUCCCCAUCAACUUGAAAGAAGAAUAGCAGAAGUUUUUCAUCGUCAAGAUCCCUUUAUUGCGAGUUAAGCGGUAGAGUUUCAAAGAGGCAGUAGAGUUUUACGAGUUUCGCUUCCUUAGAUGCAAUGAUCAAGAGCGCCUUCUUGUAUGUUAUUUCAACUACAAGGAUCGACUUAUNAGUAGUGGGAGACGAAGCAGAAGAUAUAUACCCUCGAGCGAUUAGAGAAUCUUAUUUGGGGCCAGUUCACAGAAGUUUUUAUGAAGAAUAUGUUUCCAGAAGCCGUCGUCAGCAAAAAGGAGACGUAAUUUAACAAUUUAAAGCAAUAGAAGAAGACAGUAGCUGAAUGUGAUCAAGGGUUUUGUGAUAUAGCUGGAUAUAUGCCUUAUAAGGCUGACACAUAUAUUAGUUGUAACUUUUGAUAGAGUUUUGAUGUAGUGCCUUUGCUUGUUGGCAAACCAAAUAUUCUUUCAGCUAUUGCAAGCCAAACAUUCCUUCAACUAAUGAAGAUAUCUCUUUUCCAUUUCAUCCCUCCCACCAAAAGUUUUGUUUGAAAUCUUGAUAUAAUUUAGUGCUUCUGUGGUGGGCAGUAUAUAGCGUAUCAUGAGCUUUACUCGUGAUUUUAUUUCUCAACUGUUCAGUAUUGGGUACACAACUUUUCUCAAACAUGAUAGCAGUACCCCUAGCUUUUUGGCAAGUAUUGACCCCUUCUAUCAAAAUCCUUACCCAUAAUUUUUCUCCUUUUUAUUUUCCCCAUGUACUUUAACAAUUCUUCUUCUCAAAUCAAAAAUCAUUGUUAACAUUGCAAUUACAGCUUCUCUUGUUUGCUGUGGUAGAACCAUUUGUAAAUCCAACUUUCAAAUCCUUGAUGAGAAUUUUUCUUCAUGGGUAAGGAGAAAUCCUUAGUAAACUUGAGUUUUUCUACUCAAGGCAUCCACUAUUAUAUUGGCUUUGCGUGGGUGAUAAUUUAUUCUACAAUCAUAGUCCCUUACUAAUUCGAGCUAUAUUCCUUGUCUCACACUUAGAUCUUUUGCUCGAAUAAGUAUUUUAAACUUUUAUGAGGUGUAUCAAUUCCACAUCUCGUUUCAGAAUACCAUUGUUGCUAGUUCCAAGUUAUGUUGAGCAAUUCAGUUCUUGUGGUCUAUGUUCUCAUGACCCAAUAACAAUAACUCUUUCACUUUGCAACAAUGCACAACCAAGUCCAUCUUUGAUACACAGGACCAAUUUUAUAUGGUCUUUCAACUUUGAGAAUUCGGCCAUAUUUUAAAAUAGCCUUUCAUCCAACAACAGAUGAGCAAUUUGAGAGAAAUCUUUAAACCUUAGAAGAUGUGACAUAGACUAUUGUACUAGAGCGAAGAAGUGGCGACCUUAGCAGUAGGGACACUGGCGAUCGUAAGAAAUUCUGGGUUCCAAAACUCUCUUUCCAAAAAUGAUUUUUCAGAAGGAGCGAAUUCCCCGCAAACAAGGCAGGAGACGACUAUCUCAAGGUGCAUCACGCGUACUCAGAAGCCGCAUUAUGCACUAGAUUGAAGGAUGAAUUGGGAAAACCUUUUGCUAGUAAUUGAAUUGGCCUACAAUUAUAGCUUUCGGGCAAUAAUUGAUAUGACACCAUAUGGAGCUUAUUGUGGAAAGAAAUAUUGAUCUCCACUCUAUUGACAUGAGGUAAGUGAAAGAAAAGUAACAGGACCUGAUGCGCUUGAAGAAAUGAUUACGCUUAUCCGACAAAUUCAACAACUGCUCAACGAACCUCAAGAGCGACAGAAAUUUUUUUUUGUAGAUACUCGUUGAUUUGAUUUGAAAUUUUUGAAAUAGGGGAUGAAGUUUUUCUCAGUGUUCCGCAUUCUAAGAAUGCACAAAUUCGAUGUGAAAGAGAAGUAUCUAGCAUUAUUCUCUGACGUAGUCAAAUUUCGAGGACGAAAUUUCUUUAAGGGGGAGAGGAUGUAACACCCAGCAUUUUCACUACAGUAUAUAUAUUAUUUUCUAUUAUCUAAAAGAAGAAAGAGAAGUAGAAUCACUGAGAUGAGAUGAGAUAUUAUUAUAAUACCUUGAGCUUUUAAUUCAAUGAUUGCAUAAUUUGAAUAAUUAAGUAUUCUUGCUUUCUUUAUUAUUUUCAUUCUUGGAAGCAAGUUUAUAAUUCCUAGUUAAAGGGAUUAUUUUAUUAUUUUUCAGAGAUGAGAUUGGUGAUAAAUACGAAAUAUUAUUAGUCGACUUAUUGCUCGGCUAAUUGAAGUGACGGAUGUUAUUUAAUUAUUUAUCUAUGAGCUUUCUUUUUUUUUAAUAGUGAUAGUUUGAGGAAAUUUAGUAUAUCGUGGACGGAGGGAGUAUUAUAUUUCAUUGGGUGUAUAAUAAUUUAUUAAUUUAGAUAGCUAUCAAAUACUACUUGAGCUUGGAGCACAAGUUUCGUGAGUCAUAUUAGUGUAGAGAAUUGCUUUUCUAAUUUAUUCUUAUUUUUAUUUGAUCUAAUUUGAGGGCCACAAAAUAAGGCUUAUAGGAAAAGCCAAGUUUUACCUCUUAUUAUUUAUUUCUUCUACAAACCUCAAAUGGGCCGAUCAAGUAAGGGAAAUGAGGUUUGAAUUAUAUUGCUCAUUUCUAUAAUUGGAUUUAAAUUUUUAAUGUUUGAGAUAAGCAUUUAUUUAUUGUAAAGUGUAUAUAUUAGUUUGAGGAGAUUCAUUUCCUUUUCUUCUCCCCAAAACAGUCGACCUUCUCCCCUCUCUCUUUAUGGAACCUCAGUUUAGUUUGCUUUCAACCUUCAAGAAGAUUCAGCCGCCACCUCUGCUCCGACCGCCGUCGGCUGCCGUCGAGUCCAAGUCCGACGUCUCGUCUGUUCUUCCCUGGUGCCCCUCGCACUACUCUCAUCUUCUCUCAAUUUAGCGAAGAACCCAAAUGAGAAGCCCUAAUUUCAAAAUCCGAAAUCGCCGUCACCCGAGCCCGAAAUUCGGCAAUACAGCAUCCUCCUCUUCGACGUGGUCGAAGUUCUCGCACCGGAAGUCCUCGCCGUUCCCCCUUCUUUUCCGGUGUGGAGCCCUAAUUCUUAGUAGAAGGAAAUUACUACUGUCGCGACUGGAAGGCCAACGAACGGCUGAGCUUCGCCCAUCUCUGCCUUGAAUCCAUGCUCGAGAAGGAGAGAAAGGAAAACGAGCCCUAAUUCUUUUCUACUCCCGCCGUCAUGGUUCGGCUGCCACCUCCGCCGUCUGUGGAAGACCGGCGAUUCAGCGGCGCCGCUCCAUUCACAACGCCGCUACUGCUGCUACACGAUCCCCUCCGAGGCAGCAAGCGCUGCUGUCAUCAUCGUCGUCUUGGCUCGACUGAACAGGGUCGCGUCCCUCGUCGUCGAAAAGUUAGUAUUCUACUUGUUAUUGUAGAAAGUGUUUGAUGUUGCUUGUGAUUUCUGAGUUCAUGCCAUAAUAAUCGAGGCAUAGGUGACUUCUCUCUAAGAUUCCUAAAGUGAGAUAUUAAACAAAAUGUUAUAUGUUUCUAAGUUAGUAAUUACUUUAAAUUAAGUAAAAUGAUGGCAGGAAUCAUAGCUUCAGCCCAAAGCUUCGAUUUUUGACCCUCCCUCAAGAACCCCAGAAUUUCAUCUUCUUUAUAUUUGUAUCAAUUGACUAUGUAUACAUGUCUAUAUGUAUGUGAAGAAUUGAUUGGGAUUUAUUUGGGUAUUUAUUCACAAGAAAACAUGAUUCCCUAAUAGUUUAGUUUAAGUGGAUUUGGGAGUUCUUGGAAUAAGCUAGCUACAUGUUUGAUGCUUGUGUAAUUGUACUCCUUGAAUUGUAAAAUGAGAUUAUAUGACAAUAGUUGGAGGAUAUCAAGCAUGCUACUAUAUGUUGAUGUGUUGAACAUGAAUUACGUUUAAGCUAAAGCAUGCUAAUGUGUAGUAAGAUGAUGUAUUUGAGUUACUAUAGCUUUUAUUUGAUAAAAAUAUGAGUUAUAUGUUGAGUUGAGAUGAAGAAGGUAUUGCUGUUGGUUUUGCUGUACAGGACAGUACCUUGUAAGGUAUUUUCGGGAGUGUUCCUGUGAUCCAAAUAACUUGAAUUUUACUGUAUAACUUCAUCAUGAGUAGUAGAUCUCUGCAAAUUUCAGCUAAAUCCGAGACCAAUAGACAUGUCAAACUAUUUUCUGAAAUGUACUGCGUGAAGCAGCGUAGUUCAGUGGCAGAUUCUACCUUUGGUGAUAUAACUUCUUAUACACUUGAGAUAUUGUAUUUUUGUAAAUUUCUAAGAAAUAUAGACGUUAAUAGCUUUCUAAAAAGGUAAAGCUCGUAUUUUUCCUUGAAGCGAUUGAUUUUAUAUGAUUUUCCAAAGUUAGGAUUCAAAUGUGUAUGUGUCUUGAUUAAACUUGUGAUUGGUAGUUAAUUGAGAUCCUACACUACUAAACUUGAAUUGAGGUUUUAUUGUUCUAACUACCUAUUGAGGAUUAUUGAUUACUAAAGCUUGUUAAUAUGAUAGUUGAUGGACAUAAUUAUGUUUAUAUGAUUAAUUACUUUGGGAUUUUGUGUUUUACAUGUAUGGUUAGUUGUAAACUGAUCUCUAUGGAAUGGAUUUGUUUACUUCUAAACUUUCUCAAGUAGAGGAAUUCCUAUAAGAUAGGAAUAUUAGUUUAUACUUUCUUAAAGUUCAUAAGAGUUAGUAUAUUGGUUAGUUUAGUUGAUUCAACCCUAGCUCUGCAGAAGAUUAAAAGUUUAUUGGGAUGUUAUUUAUAGCUAAUUCUUCUUAUCUAGUUAUCCAAUCUUAUUUUAGAAUCUUGCUAUUAUGAAGGUGACAGUAGCAAUGAUAGAUAAGUGAGCAAGAGUUUCUACAUCGUUAAGCGUAUCAGGUGGGCUUUCUAAACUCAUAAUUUGAAGUGCGCACUAUUUAAUUAUGUUAUUAUAUGAAUGAAGUUAUAUUAAAGUUAUUGACUUGCCAAAACUUUUAUGAGCUUGUAUGUUACCAUCUACGAGAGAUAGACGAUAUCGGCCCUAUGCUGAAGCGAGAUGUCAGUAAGGGUUUGUGCACAUAGUUGUGACCGUGAGUCAUCGAGCGGGUUGGCCGGUCACUGUGAUCGGGAGCCUUCGGGCCGAUCACUGUGUUUGAGAAGGAGGCCUACUUCUCAACACAAGGUUACAUGAUGCGUAGUUAUGGUACAUACAUGUUAAUUGUCUGCAGACGUAUAUGAUAUUAUGAUGAUAUAUAUAUAGAAGUUUUACAGUUUUGGCGUGCACAGGUUAUUUAAAUAAAACUCCUGUGUGAUGCUUGAGAUGGCAAGUUCAAUAUAUAGCUCUAAGAGCAAACUUUAAAGUUAUUUCGGCAUGUGACCAUUGAGUACCUUUUUAGUACUCAGCCCUGCAUAUGUUUCUAAAUGUGCAGGUUAAGCUGUGAUGCAGAUGGAGGCGAGCAGAGCAAAGCUUUUGAAGUAUAAGUAUUAAAUUAGGCUCAGGAUUUCAUGUCUUCAUACAUGUAAUCCACUUAAGUUAUUCCGCUGCAACACUUAGUGUAUUUUACUUUAUUGAUGUGUUGUACAGAUUUUAAACCAAUAGCUUCGAAAAUUAUGUCACUUGAAAAUUUGACAACUUGUCGUUAUGUAUUGUGAGUUGUCUGCUUUGAGUUUUAGAAAAGAUUGUUUAUGAUUACCAAAUAUUUAGGUAAAUUAUUGUUUAAGCAAGAUGAUUAUUUUUAUUGAAACCUCUUUUAUUUUCCAUUUUCUUUUUCCAUUUCCCCAGUCACAUUUUCCCCGGCUUAACUGUUGUUAGCUUAGGUCGGGCUGUGACAGAGUGGUAUCAGAGCAGGUCAUUUGCUCUGAGCCUAAAUAUCCUUUUGAGUCUAGUCUAAAUUUGAAUCUUUGGACUAGUAUGAGUAAUAUAGUAAAAGCUCUGCUCUCCAUCUCAUCCAGCUUAGCCAGGUACGGAUUUUUCAGAGUUUUAAAGUAGCAUGUUACAUUUUUAAACAAGUUUGAGAUAUGAGUUGCAGUUUUGCAAGUAUUAGUAUGAUGGAAACUUAUAUAUUUUAAAAUGAGCAUGGACAACAUGAGUUAUUUUUGAGUAUCCUCUGCCUAUACGAACUUUUGGAUUUGAAUGGAUAAAAGUGUUAUUCAUAUAUUAAUAUUUAUAUUUUGAUAUGUGGAUGGAGAUAUAGACAGUUUGAUGAUACAAUAAUGAUGUAUAUCAGUCGCGAUGUAACCUAGUACUAGUAGUGAUGUUAUACAGUUAGGGCACCACAAUUAGUACUAAGAGCUUUUUGCAACAUAUAUUCCUAUCUUUCGUAUGAGAACUCAUUGAGGCAAAUUUUCCCAUGAUAUGAAACGACCGAAGUAGUCAUUUACUAGGUUGUUGAGCUUUAAUUGCUUAGAUGAUUGAAAUUUUGUGUAUGAGUUUUAUACUUUAGUUGGUUUAUAGUUAUGUAGCAGUUUGACUUUACGGAUGGAAUAAAAGCUCAAUUAUGGGGAUUUUGUGUAUUUACUCGGCAUGAUAUCUCAAAGAAGAAAUGGAAAUUUGCCAUCCGCCAUGUGAAUAAUUUAGAGGAAAGUUUUUCAUCAUCAAGAUCCCCCUAUUCAUAGUAGAGUUUCACGAGUUUCGCUUCCUUAGAUGCAAUGAUCAAGAGCGCCUUCUUGUAUGUUAUUUCAACUACAAGGAUCGACUGAUUCUUAGUGGGAGACGAAGCAGAAGAUACAUACCCUCGAGCGAUUAGAGAAUCUUAUUUGGGGC
rnacentral:lncRNA from 1 species